AUUGAGAACAUGCUAAAAAUGAUGGCUUCCCUCAACAUUUUCAAGGAAAAAUCAUCGUCUUCAAAUAAUACCAGGAAUCUGCUAUUAAAAUCUUUUUCACCAGUUCUGGGACGCCCUGUAUAUGUACUUGUUUUUUUAAAUAUAUAACGUUGAAUUAAAUUAACGUUGAAAAAACUGAUUGCAUAAAAAUUAGAAGAAAUUCUUUUAAAUGGAUAAAUUUUAUUCAGUUGUUAUUUAUAUUUGUUACACACUUUGCAAAAAUGUUGAAAAACCAACGCUUUGACUUUUCAGAUUUUAUUUUCUUGUAUAAUGUUGAUUCUACUUUCUAUGAAAAAUUCAGCUACAAAUAAAAUUGCCCGAAAUUAUGUGAUAUAUAUUUAGAGAUAUAGAUCAAAAUACAACUAAUAGUGAGUCUAAUCAUACCACAUCACUUACGGAGAGUCCAAGAGAAAAGUUAAAUGAUGUAUAUUACGAGGCUAUCAACCAGAUUAAUAGUAAUUAUCACCGCUAAUUAAGCUGCAACUGGGAAAAUAUGUAAUCAAAAUUACAGCGAAAUUAAUUGAAAAGCAAA